UCCCUGGUGGCUCAGACAGUGUCUGCCUGCAAUGCAGAAGACCUGGGUUCAAUCCCUGGGUUGGGAA
rnacentral:tRNA from 1 species